GACGAACCUUGCUAACGUUAUUCGGAAUUACUGGGCUUAAAGGGUGCGUAGGCGGUGCAGAAAGUUGGGUGUGAAAGCCCUCGGCUCAACCGAGGAAUUGCGCCCAAAACUGCUGCACUAGAGGAAGACAGAGGUACGCGGAACUUAGGGUGGAGCGGUGAAAUGCGUUGAUAUCCUAAGGAACACCUGCGGCGAAGGCGGGUUGCUGGGCCGACACUGACGCUGAUGCGCGAAAGCCAGGGGAGCGAACGGG
rnacentral:rRNA from 1 species